UUAUAAUGGAUGUUAUAUUAUAAGUAGUAAUACUAGUAAAGCCCUGCCACUACAACAAAAUUGAGUUUUAGUGGCGAUUAUUUUUUAAAUUUUCGGAAUUAUAAUUGCCGCUAAAUAAUUCCGCUAAAUGAUUCCGUGGCAAUUAUGAUAAUUGCCGCUAUUGGUAGGAUCGGUAAAAGUUAUAGUGACAUUUGUCCUGGUUGUUGGUAAAAGUCUAAAUAAAUACUGUAUAAUAACAACUAUUAUAAAUGGCACUAUAAUUAACUACGUACUAGUGUAAUUGUCAGAUUAAGUGCCACUAAAUUUUCGCUUACAGG
rnacentral:lncRNA from 1 species